rnacentral:rRNA from 1 species
UCAGACGAUGCGUCAUGCAUAUCAAUAAGCGGAGGAAAAGAAACUAACAAGGAUUCCCUUAGUAACGGCGAGUGAAGCGGGAAGAGCUCAAAUUUGAAAUCUUCAAGGUUUUACCUUGACGAAUUGUAGUUUAAAGAAGUGUUUUCUGUUGAAGUUUUGGUAAAAGCUCUUUGGAAUAGGACAUCAUAGAGGGUGAGAAUCCCGUAUUUGACCAUUAUUUUCAGCUGUGUGAUACACUUUCAAAGAGUCGGAUUGUUUGGGAAUGCAGUCCAAAAUGGGUGGUAAAUUUCAUCUAAAGCUAAAUAUUGGCGAGAGACCGAUAGCGAACAAGUACCGUGAGGGAAAGAUGAAAAGAACUUUGAAAAGAGAGUUAAACAGUACGUGAAAUUGUCAAAAGGGAAGCGUUUGACACCAGUGUUGUUUUCUCGAAAAUCAAUUAAAAAGAGUUAGAUUUUGUUGUGUGUUGACCUUAACAGCUUGCAUUUCAAUUUUCUUGCUUUUUUUAAUGCACUUUUCGUUUAACAAGUCAACAUCAGUUUCUUUUGUUGUAAAAAGGUCAUUGGAAGGUGGCUUUCUUUUCGGAGAAAGUGUUUAUAGCCUUUGAUCUCUGCAAUCGGAGAGACUGAGGUCUGCAGCGUAGACUCUUCGGGGUUAGAUACAUUUGUGCUAAGCUAUAGCUUUUUAUAGACAACUUGUUGACUAUGAUUUAGUCUUGUAGCUUACUCGCUUAUGCUAUUUUACCUACGCUUAGGAUGUUGACACACGCGCGUGCUCG